rnacentral:rRNA from 1 species
CAGGUGGUGCAUGGUUGUCGUCAGCUCGUGUCGUGAGAUGUUGGGUUAAGUCCCGCAACGAGCGCAACCCUCGACCUUAGUUGCCAGCAUUCAGUUGGGCACUCUAAGGUGACUGCCGGCUAAAAGUCGGAGGAAGGUGGGGAUGACGUCAAAUCAUCAUGCCCCUUAUGACCUGGGCUACACACGUGCUACAAUGGGCGGUACAAAGGGUCGCGAACCCGCGAGGGGGAGCCAAUCCCAAAAAGCCGCUCUCAGUUCGGAUUGCAGGCUGCAACUCGCCUGCAUGAAGCCGGAAUCGCUAGUAAUCGCGGAUCAGCAUGCCGCGGUGAAUACGUUCCCGGGCCUU